UCAAAGUCACAAACCUCAAGAUCAUGACUUGAGCCAAAGUCGGACGCUUAACUGACUGAGCCAUCCAGGUGCCCCUCCAGAUUUUUAACUAUACAAUUAUAAACCACUCUGUCAUGAACAUCCUUAUCAUUUUAUCUUUGUGUACCUUACUUUUCUUUCAACUCUUUUCUAGAAGAGGAAUUAAUAAGUCAGAGUGUCUACACAGUUGCAAGGCUUUUUGUGGCUAUCAUCUAUUAUCUUCCACCAGAGGGUUCGCCUGUGUAACCAUCAAAAUAUCUCAAACAUGACAGACUCUGACCUCCAGGGCUGGGUCAUAAAAGACAUUGUGGGUUCCACUUUAUUCUCUUUUUGGAUCACUCAUCCAGAAGUAGUCAACUGCACGUCAUGAGGACACUCAAUCAGCCUUAAAAGAGGUCCACGUGGUGGAACUGAAGCCUUCUGCCAACAUCAGCACUAACUUGACAGCCACCUGACUAAGCUCUUCUGGAAGUGAUGCUCCGGCACCAGUCAAGCCUUCAGAUGACUACAGUCCAGGCCAGUAUCUUGACUGCAACCCCAUGAGACACUCUGAGCCAGAAACACCCAGCUAAGCACUCCUCAAUUCCUGAUGUACAGAAACUGUGUGUGAUAAUAAAUGUUCAUUGUUUGAAGUUA